rnacentral:tRNA from 5 species
GGGGGAUUAGUUUAACUGGAAAAACUAUAGGCUUCUAUCCUAUCGAGUAGGGGUUCGAAUCCCUUAUCCCCUU